UAGGUCUUGUCAGGCUGCACUAAAGCUUUGCAUAGCUUGGUUUUAAAGAAGCCAGACAAGGUGAAAAGGAGAGGAAUUUUUUCCAGCUCCUCUCUCUUUUGACAAGUUGACAUUUUUAUGUGGAAAAAGAUGAGAACAUGAAGAUUUUUUUAUUAUUAUUAUUUUUAAGUAAUAAUUAGAGAGAAUAAAUGAGAGACGGGUUAAUCACGUGGCACCUGAGAGGCAGUGAAUCACUGCUGGCAUGUGUCAUGACAGAGUCUUUGGACUGUGUUAAAGUGUCAUGCAUUAAAAAGCCCUGUGUACCCCUCUGAGUUGCUUGGUGAUGUGCUGAGCACAGCAGCUAUUCUGACACAGGGCUGAGGGCAGCUCAAAUGUUUUUAGACCAUCUUUAAAUCUCAUUGGCUUUCUGGUAAAUAUAUGCAUCCACUACAGCUUUAAAUGUGACCUUGGAAGGGCAAAGUGUAAGGCACACUCUGUGGCAGGGUGUCCUCAGAGAUUGUCACAGCUCCAAGUUCUUCCAUGCACUCCAGUCUAACAAGUCAGAUCCCAAAUUCCUUGUUUUCUCUAUUCUGAACACUAGACCUUCUACACAAUGACUAAUAAUAGCAGAAGCUUUUGUACUGUCUCCUCUCCUCUCCUCUCACUCCUACAGUUUUGUAUUUAGAUUGCUGCUAGUAGACGUGACUGCCAUUUCUUCAGUGUCUCAGAAACAUUUGCAGUAUCCAAAACUCACAUCACUGUCUUUUUUGUUCCUAUAACCAAAUCCUUUUAUCACUGCUUUUGUUGGCUAAUAUUAGCGUAAUGUAAUUCAGUCAUUUACCAUUUAGUGCAUGUCUACACCAGUAUGGACUUUAACCUAGCUCAGAUGAUCUCUUAAACAUACAGUCCAGAUACUGGAAACAGUCUAAUUAUUAUUCCUGUCAGUAACUUAAAGGUGGGUUAUAAGAAAGAAGUGGAUGGAUUCUUUAGUAGGUCUGUUGUGAUAGGAUAAGGGAAAGCGGUUUCUAAUUAAAAGAGGAGAGGUUUAGACUGGAUAUAAGGAAAAAAUAUUUUACAAUCAGAGUGGUGAGGCACUGGAACAGGUAGGCCAGAGAGGUGGUGGAAGCCACCUGGAGAUAGUCGGGCUGGAGGGGCUCCAAGCACCCUGAUCCAGCUGUAGGUGUCCCUGUUCAUUGCAGGGGUGUUCAUCUAGAUGGCCUUCAAGGGUCCCUUCCAACUCAAGCAAUUCUAUGAUUCUACAAUUAUAAACUGAGACUAGAAAACUAGUCCAUGCAGGAAAGUAACUGAAGAGCUGCGUGAUUCUGUGACCAGAUCAGAAGAUAUGUGAUUAAACAGUUUCAGGCAUCUAUGUGAUAUUUGCAACAUGCAAAGUAAAAAUAACAGUAGUUUACUGAGAAACAGCAGACAUAUACUCACACCCACUCCUUCACAUGCACCUUAUUUUGAAAUAAAACAAAAAUUCUGCACAGAGUAAAUGGACUCAAAACAGAAAACAGAAGAUAAUCACCCCUCAGCAAGUUUUGUCCAUUGUAUAAAGCAAAAUACAGAUUUCAUUGCAUGAAAAACAUGGGGCUAAACUCUGUGCUGAAGUGAUUCUCACAUUGCUCUUCCCAUCAUUCCACACCAUGUUUUGAAUUUGUGGUUGACUGCACACUGGUGUGGGGGCUGUAAUUUCAAUGUCUUAAUUUUGUGACUUCUACUCAUUUGAAUUCUCAUCUGCAAAGCUGCACGCAACUUGACCACAGAAAGGUCCCCAAGUCAGAAACAUGGCACUUGCACACUGUCAGUCAAGGUAGCCAAACAGCAGAAUGGCAGCAGCUUGACUGAAAGGCAAUAGCAAAACAAUAAGAAUCAUCCCAGUCCUGUCAAACUGCCAUGCUCAGCCAGAUUGUUGUUAACAGGGCUCUGAAAAGGGCUGGCUGAAACAGUGGCUAGAAGGCAGCUCUGUCUCUCAAUAAAGAAAGAAGACGAGCUGCAUUUCUUGUAAUCUAUAAUGCUGAAUUUCCCAACUUUCAUGAUUCAAUCAACUUUUUGUUGCAGAGAAUAGGGGGUGGAUAAGGGGAGGGAGGAAGCUAGGUAGAAAAAAAACUUCUCCAUUCUUCCCUUCUUUGGUCAGUCUGGUUUGGUUUAUUUUAUCUUGACUGUAGGAAAGGAUAAAGCAGCCUGCCUUAGAACUUGUUUAAACAUUGUCAGUAGAAAAGGUUUUGUUUGUUCUUCCCUUCACAGUCAAAAGUUACAAGAUAUUAACAUCUGCUGUCCUUUUUGAAAAAGCAGAGCACUGUCUAAUUUCUUGACUUUGCAUGGUGGAUACAGCUGUACCUAACAGUUGUUGCUGUUCAAAACACCUGGCACCAACACCUGGCAUAAGAACUAAGAGUAACACCAAGCAGCUAACAAAAUAUUGAAGUAACAGCACCUGCACCUCUUUCUUUCUCCCCCAUCUCUAUCCAAGGAAUUCCUAGCAUUGCUGUCAAAACUCAGAUUCUCUAAUUUUACUACAUUCAAGUAUCUUCUUAACUACACACAGAUUUAUGAGAGAAAAGUCCUGCAGUACUUGUUGGCUCACAUACAGUCAACUUUUUUUGAGUAUGCUUGGUUUCCUUGACUCAUGAAGCAAUCAAAGCAGUCCAAAGUAACACAAUCUGUCCUUGAAGACUUUCAAGGUGAGGCUGGAAGAGAUUCUGAACGUCUGAUGUAGCAGUAGGUGUCUCUGUUCAUUGCAGGAGAGUUGGAUUAGAUGAUCUUUAAAGGUCCCUUCCAAAUCAAACAAUUCUGUGAUUCUAUUCUAUGACUCUAUGAAACUGGUCUAUGACUCUAUGACUCUAUGAAACACUGCAGCUUUCUAUAGAACUGCUACUUUCACCUGCUCCAAACCUACAUGCCCUCCUGAAGCUGCCCACUGUUGGCCCUACUCAUGGAGAGACAGCACCAACAUCAUUUAAGUUGCACACUCAGCUGCUCUUGUUCUCUUCAAACCAAGCUUAUCCAUGUACCCAAGGCACCAUGUGGCCUUCAGAGCUGAUCUGCUGUGAUGAGAGCACCUCUUCUGCUCUUUUUCUUGGCUGGACUCAGGCUCAUUUCUGCUCUCUCUUUGAUAGCAUAGAUUAUCCUUUAUCCCCUAACAAAUUCCCUGUUCAUCUCCCUGCUUGAUCCUCAGAGCUCCAUUUGUAAUUCCCAUGCACUUUUCCAGAAAGUUGGACAUGAGUCUGCUUGAUGCCACUUAGCACUGCUUGGCGCCACUUAGCACUGCUUGGCUAUGAGUGCUGCAAGCUCUGCUUCUGCCCCAUGAAAAAAUGACAUGAACAGCACUGAAAAACAGGGGCACUGCCAUGUGAAACUUCGCCAGAUGGAUAUGCCAGUAUUCUGCACAUCUCACUAAACAGUUUUAUCUGCAGAAAAUUGCAUCCAUUUUCAGGUCUAAAUGAAAAAUAUUUUACCCAGAAGAAUUAGGCCUUCUUUCCAAUGCCUUUAUGUAAGCUACUUCGGAGGAGAGGCAUUUCCUUUCCUUCAUUUUCUUUUAGUUACCCUGAAACUGUGCUGUGCUUGAUUGAAGUGAAGCAGCUGGCUCCUGGAGCACUGCACAAAAUGGUUUCUGCAGAGAAAGAGUAAGAGAGCCUGAAGAGCUGAAGUAUUUUCAUGUUUCUGUUCUCCUUCACCUGCACCAUCAAAGAAAAAGUCUGUGGAGCAAAAAGUUGCAAAAUAAGACAGAGUAUUAGACUUAUUCUGGAAUAAAUCCACUCCUAACAUAUUACUGAAGCAUCACUUUUAUCCCUGGAUACUUAUUAUUUAAUCAAACAGCAUUUGUGUGGAGUCAGUUUGUGCAGCUUUAAGACUGUCCUCCACUCUGGAAUAGUUACUGCACAAAGGUUUGGUUUUUUUGUUUUUUGUUUUUUGUUU
ensembl:lncRNA